UGGGGAAUAUUGCACAAAGGGCGCAAGCCUGAUGCAGCGACGCCGCGUGGGGGAUGACGGCCUUCGGGUUGUAAACUCCUUUCGCCAGGGACGAAGCGUUUUGUGACGGUACCUGGAGAAGAAGCACCGGCUAACUACGUGCCAGCAGCCGCGGUAAUACGUAGGGUGCAAGCGUUGUCCGGAAUUACUGGGCGUAAAGAGCUCGUAGGUGGUUUGUCACGUCGUCUGUGAAAUUCCACAGCUUAACUGUGGGCGUGCAGGCGAUACGGGCUGACUUGAGUACUGUAGGGGUAACUGGAAUUCCUGGUGUAGCGGUGAAAUGCGCAGAUAUCAGGAGGAACACCGAUGGCGAAGGCAGGUUACUGGGCAGUUACUGACGCUGAGGAGCGAAAGCAUGGGUAGCAAACAGGAUUAGAUACCCUGGUAGUCCAUGCCGUAAACGGUGGGCGCUAGGUGUAGGGGCCUUUUGGGGUUUCUGUGCCGUAGCUAAACGCAUUAAGCGCCCCGCCUGGGGGAGUACGGCCGCAAGGCUA
rnacentral:rRNA from 1 species